GAUGAACGCCGGCGGUGUGCCUAAUACAUGCAAGUCGAACGCGUUGGCCCAACUGAUUGAACGUGCUUGCACGGACUUGACGUUGGUUUACCAACGAGUGGCGGACGGGUGAGUAACACGUAGGUAACCUGCCCCAAAGCGGGGGAUAACAUUUGGAAACAGAUGCUAAUACCGCAUAACAGCUUGCAUCGCAUGAUUCAAGCUUAAAAGAUGGUUUCGGCUAUCACUUUGGGAUGGACCUGCGGCGCUUUAGCUUGUUGGUAGGGUAACGGCCUACCAAGGCUGUGAUGCGUAGCCGAGUUGAGAGACUGAUCGGCCACAAUGGAACUGAGACACGGUCCAUACUCCUACGGGAGGCAGCAGUAGGGAAUCUUCCACAAUGGGCGCAAGCCUGAUGGAGCAACACCGCGUGAGUGAAGAAGGGUUUCGGCUCGUAAAGCUCUGUUGUUAGAGAAGAACGUGCGUGAGAGCAACUGUUCACGCAGUGACGGUAUCUAACCAGAAAGUCACGGCUAACUACGUGCCAGCAGCCGCGGUAAUACGUAGGUGGCAAGCGUUAUCCGGAUUUAUUGGGCGUAAAGCGAGCGCAGGCGGUUUGAUAAGUCUGAUGUGAAAGCCUUUGGCUU
rnacentral:rRNA from 1 species